rnacentral:rRNA from 1 species
UACGGAGGGUGCAAGCGUUAUCCGGAUUCACUGGGUUUAAAGGGUGCGUAGGCGGGUUGGUAAGUCCGUGGUGAAAUCUCCGAGCUUAACUCGGAAACUGCCGUGGAUACUAUCAAUCUUGAAUAUCGUGGAGGUAAGCGGAAUAUGUCAUGUAGCGGUGAAAUGCUUAGAUAUGACAUAGAACACCAAUUGCGUAGGCAGCUUACUACACGAUCAUUGACGCUGAGGAACGAAAGCGUGGGGAGCAAACAGG